AGAGUUUGAUCAUGGCUCAGGACGAACGCUGGCGCCGUGCUUAACACAUGCAAGUCGUGCGGAGAAGCGCCGAANGUUUACUUUUGGUGCUAUCUUAGCGGCGGACGGGUGAGUAACACGUGAACAACCUGCCCUUAAGACCGGGAUAACACUGGGAAACUGGUGCUAAUACCGGAUACGCUCUACGGGCGGCAUCGUUUGUAGAGGAAAGUCGGCCUCUUAACAAUGCUGGCGCUUAAGGAUGGGUUCGCGUCCCAUUAGCUUGUUGGUGGGGUAACGGCCUACCAAGGCGACGAUGGGUAGCCGGCCUGANAGGGUGGCCGGCCACACUGGGACUGAGACACGGCCCAGACUCCUACGGGAGGCAGCAGUGGGGAAUAUUCCGCAAUGGGCGCAAGCCUGACGGAGCGACGCCNCGUGGGGGACNAAGGCCUUCGGGUUGUAAACCUCUUUUCUGAAGGAAGAANUUCAUAUUGGUUAACAGCCGAUAUGAUUGACGGUACUUUAGGUAUAAGCCCCGGCUAACUACGUGCCAGCAGCCGCGGUAAUACGUAGGGGGCGAGCGUUGUCCGGAAUUACUGGGCGUAAAGGGCGUGUAGGCGGCUAGAGAAGUCGCAGGUGAAAUCCCACGGCUCAACCGUGGAACUGCCUGCGAAACCAUUUANCUUGAGGACAGGAGAGGAAAGUGGAAUUCCUGGUGUAGCGGUGAUAUGCGUNNAUAUCAGGAGGAACACCGGUGGCGAAGGCGGCUUUCUGGCCUGAUCCUGACGCUGANGCGCGAAAGCUAGGGGAGCAAACAGGAUUAGAUACCCUGGUAGUCCUAGCUGUAAACNAUGGGCACUAGGUGUUGGUGGGUUCAUACCCAUCANUGNCGUANUUAACACAAUAAGUGCCCCGCCUGGGGAGUACGGUCGCAAGACUGAAACUCNAAUGAA
rnacentral:rRNA from 1 species